rnacentral:rRNA from 1 species
UAGGGAAUCUUCGGCAAUGGGGGGAACCCUGACCGAGCAACGCCGCGUGAGUGAAGAAGGUUUUCGGAUCGUAAAGCUCUGUUGUUAAGGAAGAACGAGUGUGAGAAUGGAAAGUUCAUGCUGUGACGGUACUUAACCAGAAAGGGACGGCUAACUACGUGCCAGCAGCCGCGGUAAUACGUAGGUCCCGAGCGUUGUCCGGAUUUAUUGGGCGUAAAGCGAGCGCAGGCGGUUAGAUAAGUCUGAAGUUAAAGGCAGUGGCUCAACCAUUGUAGGCUUUGGAAACUGUUUAACUUGAGUGCAGAAGGGGAGAGUGGAAUUCCAUGUGUAGCGGUGAAAUGUGUAGAUAUAUGGAGGAACACCGGUGGCGAAAGCGGCUCUCUGGUCUGUAACUGACGCUGAGGCUCGAAAGCGUGGGGAGCGAACAGG